GUUUAAUUCGAUGCAACGCGAAGAACCUUACCUACCCUUGACAUCCUGCGAACCCGGAAGAGAUUCCGGGGUGCCUUCGGGAACGCAGAGACAGGUGCUGCAUGGCUGUCGUCAGCUCGUGUUGUGAAAUGUUGGGUUAAGUCCCGUAACGAGCGCAACCCUUGUCCUUAUUUGCCAGCAAGUAAUGUCGGGAACUCUAAGGAGACUGCCGGUGACAAACCGGAGGAAGGUGGGGACGACGUCAAGUCAUCAUGGCCCUUACGGGUAGGGCUACACACGUGCUACAAUGGCCGGUACAAAGGGCUGCGAGCUCGCGAGAGUCAGCGAAUCCCUUAAAGCCGGUCUCAGUCCGGAUCGGAGUCUGCAACUCGACUCCGUGAAGUCGGAAUCGCUAGUAAUCG
rnacentral:rRNA from 1 species